rnacentral:rRNA from 1 species
UACGUAGGGUCCGAGCGUUGUCCGGAAUUACUGGGCGUAAAGAGCUCGUAGGUGGUUUGUCGCGUUGUUCGUGAAAACUCACAGCUCAACUGUGGGCGUGCGGGCGAUACGGGCAGACUUGGAGUACUGCAGGGGGAGACUGGAAUUCCUGGUGUAGCGGUGGAAUGCGCAGAUAUCAGGAGGGAACACCCGAUGGCGAAGGCAGGUCACUGG